CAUUGAUGUCCUUAUGCUGCGUAGCAAGUUUGAGGUGAUUCUGAUAACAGAUUACUGAAUUAUGAGCUCCACACAGUUGCUGUACAUGUAUUUCUAUUUUUAGCUUAUUGGUUCACACAUCUAUGGUGGUCAGGAUCUAUUUGUGAAUGAGUAUUAUUACUAUCACUUGACUAUGAUGUUACAAGAGAACUACGGAACCUUGAGUUAUUAAAGCUAAGAUUUGGAGAUAGUAAUUCAUAUCUUGUACAGGUUGAUAUGGGAGGAGUACCAGCAACACUGGUUAAUAUUGUGUCAAGACGUCAGCCGUUAGCAGUUGCAUAUUUACGUGAUUAUUUAGAAACAGCUAGUUUAAUCUAUUAAUAACACUUAAAGUAGAGAAGAGAGAAAGGAAAAAAAAGUGUGAGCGUGUGAUGGAAGGGAAAUAGAUAGAGAGUGACAAAACACUUUAUACAAAAAUUGUAAGAUUAGUUGUAGUGUAUCUCGUUAAUUGCA